UCCUACGGGAGGCAGCAGUGGGGAAUUUUCCGCAAUGGGCGAAAGCCUGACGGAGCAACGCCGCGUGAGGGAUGAAGGCCUCUGGGCUGUAAACCUCUUUUAUCAAGGAAGAAGAUCUGACGGUACUUGAUGAAUAAGCCACGGCUAAUUCCGUGCCAGCAGCCGCGGUAAUACGGGAGUGGCAAGCGUUAUCCGGAAUUAUUGGGCGUAAAGCGUCCGCAGGCGGCCCUUCAAGUCUGCUGUUAAAAAGUGGAGCUUAACUCCAUCAUGGCAGUGGAAACUGUUGGGCUUGAGUGUGGUAGGGGCAGAGGGAAUUCCCGGUGUAGCGGUGAAAUGCGUAGAUAUCGGGAAGAACACCAGUGGCGAAGGCGCUCUGCUGGGCCAUCACUGACGCUCAUGGACGAAAGCCAGGGGAGCGAAAGGGAUUAGAUACCCCUGUAGUCCUGGCCGUAAACGAUGAACACUAGGUGUCGGGGGAAUCGACCCCCUCGGUGUCGUAGCCAACGCGUUAAGUGUUCCGCCUGGGGAGUACGCACGCAAGUGUGAAACUCAAGGAAUUGACGGGGA
rnacentral:rRNA from 1 species